UACGGGGGGGGCAAGCGUUGUUCGGAAUUACUGGGCGUAAAGGGCUCGUAGGUGGCCAACUCAGUCGGACGUGAAAUCCCUCGGCUUAACCGGGGAACUGCGUCCGAUACUGGAUGGCUUGAGAUCGGGAGAGGGAUGCGGAAUUCCAGGUGUAGCGGUGAAAUGCGUAGAUAUCUGGAGGAACACCGGUGGCGAAGGCGGCAUCCUGGACCGACACUGACACUGAGGAGCGAAAGCCGGGGGAGCAAACGGG
rnacentral:rRNA from 1 species